UACGUAGGUGGCAAGCGUUGUCCGGAUUUACUGGGCGUAAAGAGCGCGCAGGCGGUCGUUCAAGUCGCGUGUGAAAGCCCCCGGCUCAACUGGGGAGGGUCACGCGAUACUGAUCGACUCGAAGGCAGGAGAGGGUAGUGGAAUUCCCGGUGUAGUGGUGAAAUGCGUAGAUAUCGGGAGGAACACCUGUGGCGAAAGCGGCUCACUGGACCACAACUGACGCUGAGGCGCGAAAGCUAGGGGAGCAAACAGG
rnacentral:rRNA from 1 species